rnacentral:lncRNA from 1 species
CAUUUAUUGAAACAAAUGUUGGAAUGGUUUACACGUCUCAUCAUGACUACAUGGUCAGGCAGUGCCCACACACAGGACAGCAGAAGGGGUGUGACUCCAUGUGUGCACGUGUCAGCCUUUCGCUGUGAACAAGUACAGCGGUGUACACGUUGGUUUUAAGUGUGUUAAAGGGUGAAGAGUUGCAUGUUGUUACACAUCCAGCUGUGCUUAACGGGAGGCAUAACUCGUGAGGCAAAUCAGAAAAUUAGCCACGCUUGUUCAGAGUAAAGCUGCAUUUGCCUCCAACUGGAAAUUUCCUCAGCUACCAAUCCGGGCCUUGCGUUUACACAGCUGAACGCAUCAGUCCCCGCACCUCGCCGCUACGCCACCGCACGGCUCGCGCAGGGCACGGCGGGCACACGGCCAGCGCGGUGAGCGCCUUCCUACCACCGGAGGGAACAGACACAGGCAUCUCCCGUCCCUUCGCCUUCCCCGCAGGCUGGGCCCGGCCCCACGCACGAAGCGCUGCCGCUCGCUUCCCUCCCGGCCGUAGCGCGAAGGCAGCGGGCGCAGGGGGCGGGAUGCAGCGCGGAGAGGCGCCGCCUUCCCGCCCGCCCGGCACUGCGGGGCUGGAGGCUGAGGAGCCGGAGCGGAGGCGCUGCUCCUCCGGCGGGAGGGCGGAGCUGGCCGGGCCCCGCCGCGCAACCCGCUCUCCGAUGCGCUCACCUGAAGCAGCCGGCCGCCCCGCAGCCGCCUCUCCGCGCCCGAGCUGCCGCAGCGUAAGUGUCCGCCCGGCCUGCGCGGGCCGCUCGCCGCAGCUGUCCCCGGGCUCCGCGUUACGCUGCUGUCCCGAGAGCGGCGCAGAAUGCACUUAAUC